rnacentral:rRNA from 1 species
UACGAAGGGGGCUAGCGUUGCUCGGAAUCACUGGGCGUAAAGGGUGCGUAGGCGGGUUUUUAAGUCAGGGGUGAAAUCCUGGAGCUCAACUCCAGAACUGCCUUUGAUACUGAAGAUCUUGAGUCCGGGAGAGGUGAGUGGAACUGCGAGUGUAGAGGUGAAAUUCGUAGAUAUUCGCAAGAACACCAGGUGGCGAAGGCGGCUCACUGGCCCGGUACUGACGCUGAGGCACGAAAGCGUGGGGAGCAAACAGG